rnacentral:rRNA from 1 species
CCCUUAGAUGUCCUGGGCCGCACGCGCGCUACACUGAGUGUCUGAGAUACGAGUCUGCCUGGUCCGGCAAGGUCUAGGUAAUCGCUAAAAGACACAUCAUGCUUGGGAUAGAUUAUUGCAAAUAUUAAUCUUGAACGAGGAAUUCCUAGUAAGCGCAAGUCAACAGCUUGCGUUGAUUACGUCCCUGCCCUUUGUACACACCGCCCGUCGCUACUACUGUUUGGAUGUUUAAGCGAGGUUCUCGAACUGCUAGCGACUUAGCUUCGGUGAGGUCGCAGUGUGGGAAGUGAACCGAGCUUUGGUGUCUAGAGGAAGUAAAAGUCGUAACA